UAUCAGGUCCAUAAUGACACCCUGUCCCCUAUAUCAGGUCCAUAAUGACACCCUGUCCCCUAUAUCAGGUCCAUAAUGACACCCUGUCCUCUAUACCGGGUCCAUAAUGACCCCCUGUCCCCUAUAUCAGGUCCAUAAUGACACCCUGUCCUCUAUACCGGGUCCAUAAUGACACCUUGUCCCCUAUAUCAGGUCCAUAAUGACACCCUGUCCCCUAUA